UCCCUGGUGGCUCAGCUGGUAAAGAAUCCGCCUGCAAUGCGGGAGACCUGGGUUCAAUCCCUGGGCUGGGAA
rnacentral:tRNA from 1 species